rnacentral:rRNA from 1 species
AUUGAACGCUGGCGGCAGGCCUAACACAUGCAAGUCGAACGAGUGGCGGACGGGUGAGUAAUGUCUGGGAAACUGCCCGAUGGAGGGGGAUAACUACUGGAAACAGUAGCUAAUACCGCAUACUAUCGGAUGUGCCCAGAUGGGAUUAGCUAGUAGGUGGGGUAACGGCUUACCUAGGCGACGAUCCCUAGCUGGUCUGAGAGGAUGAUCAGCAACACUGGGACUGAGACACGGGCCAGACUCCGACGGGAGGCAGCAGUGGGGAAUAUUGCACAAUGGGCGCAAGCCUGAUGCAGCCAUGCCGCGUGUAUGAAGAAGGCCGUCGGGUUGUAAAGUACUGUCAGCGGGGAGGCGUUACUCACAGAAGAAGCACCGGCUAACUCCGUGCCAGCCGCCGCGGUAAUAC